UACGAAGGUGGCAAGCGUUGUUCGGAUUCACUGGGCGUACAGGGAGCGUAGGCGGUUGGGUAAGCCCUCCGUGAAAUCUCCGGGCCCAACCCGGAAAGUGCAGAGGGGACUGCUCGGCUAGAGGACGGGAGAGGAGCGCGGAAUUCCCGGUGUAGCGGUGAAAUGCGUAGAGAUCGGGAGGAAGGCCGGUGGCGAAGGCGGCGCUCUGGAACGUUUCUGACGCUGAGGCUCGAAAGCGUGGGGAGCAAAGAGG
rnacentral:rRNA from 1 species